CUACCAAAAGUCAAUUUUUGGUGGGGAAGGCUUUUUAAUAAUCUUUACUAACUUGUGUUAUUUGGGAGAAUAAAUAUGACUACACACUCCGUAGUGGGCUAUACAAUUUAUUUUACAGUUCAUGACUAUUGUGUGGCCUAUGUU
rnacentral:snoRNA from 1 species